UUGUAGCUCAGCGGUAGAGCACUCCCUUGGUAAGGGAGAGGUCUCGAGUUCAAGUCUCG
rnacentral:ncRNA from 11 species